ensembl:lncRNA novel transcript
GAAGGGACUCCCGCGGCCCUAAGGUGCUGGCGGGCGUUUGGCGUUGCAGCUGUGUGGGCGCUGGUGCGUGCGAGUAGCGCUCGAAGAAACCCAAAGGCGUCGUGGGGCUGCCGUGUGCCCCAGAGAGCACUGCAGGCCGGGUAGGGGCUAAGGCUCCCCGCAGUCUUCUGUGUGUCGUCCAGUACGCAGUUGAAAUCGUUCUCCAACCUGGCCAGUCCUCCGAGGCCCUUCUCAGGCGACCAGACUCUGUUAACAGAGUCCAUUGCUAAAACUCCUCGUUAGUAUUUACCACUCCUCCAGUCUGUGUUUUGAAGCAGUGGUUUUCAACCACUGCCCGUUUUCAGAAGAAAUCAUCUCAAGCGUCCGUGUGCUGCUAGAAGCCGGGCCGGGAGGUCUUGGUGCCGGACUCCACCCUGCAGCCCUUCCCUUUCGCCACCGCCCUGUGCUUAGAGAAACCUUAGAGUGGAGCAAUGAGUCGCCCUUGACUGAGUAACUCUUCGGGGUCAACUUCUCCUUCCACGCCAAGGAAAGGAUUCCAGGGCGAUGUUUCUGGAAAUAGAGAUCUGACCAAGCCACUGCUCUGGUGAAAAUUCAGUGGGUCCCUAGCACCUAGUGCAGCGGCUCCUAGCCUGAGUAUUGCCGUCUUUCGGUGGGGAGGGGUUGGGUUUUUUUGUAGCAUCUGUUGAUCUGAUCUCCAACAUCCUCCACGUCAAUUCCCACUCCACCCACAUCCCUUAUCCUAUACGUAAGCUUUCCAGCCACGGUGCUGGCUUGGGUGGGGGUGCGUGCGGUGCUGACACCAAAAUGGAGGUCCCGUGUUUCUGAGAGUCUCUUUCAGAGCAAUGCAAACCUGAAACUACUCCUGCCAAGAAACGAUUGCAGCUCUUCCCGGAAAAGUUAAAGCCUUUGAGAAACAAAGCUGAGCUAAUAUUGGGAAGCUCAGCAGGGUCCUGGGGGCCCACAGGAAUGUGAAUAAACACGCUUGGAAAGUCUGCAGAAUUUCCAGUCCUAGCCUCCUGCUGGUGUGAACCUGGGCUCCUGUGCCUGGGACCCUGGGAGAUUUGGGAUUAAGCCUUAUUUUGCAUUGGGUUUAAUCUCAACAGACACCGAGGGGCACCUGGAGUCCCUGCAAAACCUUGUCUGGUAUCAGCUACCUAUCAGAGGAUGCAGAGGACAAGGGCCUAGGGGAUGCCAAAUUCCAGGGUCCAGAAAGAGCUUGGGAUAAAAUGAACAUCCAAGGGGAGGGCUUUGACCUGGGCUGAGUCUGCCUGUGCCGAGUCUGCCUGUGCCAUCCAACUGGAGUCUCAAGUCCUGAGGCAGGACGUCCAGAUGCCCCAGUGCAGGGUCCUCCUGAUCAACACCUGCUCCCCUGUACUCAUUAGCAACCUCACCCACCCUACUCUCAAAGCACACUUGGCUCUCAUAUCCAGGAGCUCUGCAUCUGUAGAUUCAGCAACAGCAGAUGGAAAAUAUUCAGAAAAUAAAUUGGACAGUUAUAUUUCUAUUGAA